rnacentral:lncRNA from 1 species
UGAAGAUGGCAGAGCCCCCUAGGAUGGGGUGCUGGGGGCAAGGAGGAGGUGAGGGUCAGGAAGGGUCCACCUCUGUGUCUGCCAGGCCCGGGGUGCCUGCCCAGGCUGCCCCAAACCAUGAGGCCCCAGCAAGCACCCGCAGCCAUCUCUGGAGCCCCAGCCAGCCUGCUUGCCCACUUAACUUCCUCCACCUCAGUUUUCUCAUCCGCAGGGCAGGCUGACAGUAACUGGGUCUGGCUAGUGAAAGCCCACCCUGAGCCGACGGGUGGCAGGGGUCGUUGGGGAGUCAGAAGCCGGAUUCUGCAGCGAUGGAGGGAGCUGGAGCAGGGGCCCCGAGCCUGCAGCCCCAGAUGGAGGCCCGGCCUCUCCCACCAGCGGCCCCACCUCCAACCCUGGGCCCCACAACACAGCAGCUCAGGCUGUGUCUUCUAUGUGGGCCCCGCAGGCAAAGUGCCCACCAGCAGGUGGACACACACCAUGUACACCACACACAUGCCCCACAGAUGCAUACACCACACACCACACAUGUAUACCACACACACACACCACACAUAUGCACACACCACAGAUGCACACACCACACAUAUACACACAGGCACCACACACCUGCACCACACACACACACAACACAUACACACACACCACAGAUACACACACCACACAUAUACACACAUACACACCACACAUGUGCACCACACACAUCACAUGCACACAACACAUACGCACACACCACAGAUGCACACACCACACACGUACACACCACAUACAUGUACCACACACACCGCAGAUGCACACACCACAGAUGCACACACCACACGCACACAACACAUACACACACACCACUCGCACACCACACACCCCAAAUACACAUACCACAGAUGCCCACAUCACACAUACAAGCCACAAACACCUCACACACCCACACCACACCACACAUACCACACACACACACACGCACACACACACACCACACACAUGCACACAUAGGCCAGCAGACAGCUCCCUGGAGAAUUUUUGAGGGAAACCGAGCAGCUCCCUGCGUCUCCCUUCUGGGCCUGCUCGGUGCCCGGCCUCGCGCUCUAGGGCUGUCAGCGGGUGUCUGGGGGCACAGGG